rnacentral:rRNA from 1 species
UGGGGAAUAUUGCACAAUGGAGGGAACUCUGAUGCAGCGACGCCGCGUGAGUGAUGAAGGAAUUCGUUUCGUAAAACUCUGUUCUAUGGGAAGAAAAGGACUGUACCAUAGGAGAAAGCUCCGGCUAAAUACGUGCCAGCAGCCGCGGUAAUACGUAUGGAGCGAGCGUUGUCCGGAAUUAUUGGGCGUAAAGGGUGCGCAGGCGGCUUUACAAGUUGGAUGUGAAAUAUUGUGGCUCAACCACAAACGUGCAUCCAAAACUGCAAAACUUGAGUUAAGGAGAGGUAAGUGGAAUUCCUGGGGUAGCGGUGGAAUGCGUAGAUAUCAGGAGGAAUACCGGUGGAGAAAGCGACUUACUGGACUUAAACUGACGCUCAGGCACGAAAGCGUGGGGAGCAAACAGG